GAUGAACGCUGGCGGCGUGCCUAAUACAUGCAAGUCUAGCGAACGGACGAGAAGCUUGCUUCUCUGAUGUUAGCGGCGGACGGGUGAGUAUCACGUGGAUAACCUACCUAUAAGACUGGGAUAACUUCGGGAAACCGGAGCUAAUACCGGAUAAUAUUUUGAACCGCAUGGUUCAAAAGUGAAAGACGGUCUUGCUGUCACUUAUAGAUGGAUCCGCGCUGCAUUAGCUAGUUGGUAAGGUAACGGCUUACCAAGGCAACGAUGCAUAGCCGACCUGAGAGGGUGAUCGGCCACACUGGAACUGAGACACGGUCCAGACUCCUACGGGAGGCAGCAGUAGGGAAUCUUCCGCAAUGGGCGAAAGCCUGACGGAGCAACGCCGCGUGAGUGAUGAAGGUCUUCGGAUCGUAAAACUCUGUUAUUAGGGAAGAACAUAUGUGUAAGUAACUGUGCACAUCUUGACGGUACCUAAUCAGAAAGCCACGGCUAACUACGUG
rnacentral:rRNA from 1 species